CAAACAGGUAACUGUAGCAAAGCCGGUGGAGCGUCAUUGGACAUCAGUCCAUCACCAUUACUGUGCUUCUCAGUGGUCCAUGUGGCUGUUAGAGUUGCUACCACGCUCAGUCUGUUUGUGGCUGUUGCCAUAGUUGCAGUCAUCUACAGGAAGAGACCGGGUGACUACAAGGGCAAGCCAAACAUCUCUG